rnacentral:tRNA from 1 species
GUUGAGAUGUGCUCAGUGGUAGAGCAUCUGUCUAGCAUACUCAAGGUCCUGGGUUUUAUUCCCAGCAACA